rnacentral:rRNA from 1 species
GGCGGCGUGCCUAACACAUGCAAGUCGAGCGAGGAGAUUCCUUCGGGAUGAUCCUAGCGGCGGACGGGUGAGUAACACGUGGGCAACCUGCCUCAUAGAGAGGAAUAGCCUUCCGAAAGGGAGAUUAAUACCUCAUAACAUCGCAGUUUCGCAUGGAACAGCAAUUAAAGGAGCAAUCCACUAUGAGAUGGGCCCGCGGCGCAUUAGCUAGUUGGUGAGGUAACGGCUCACCAAGGCGACGAUGCGUAGCCGACCUGAGAGGGUGAUCGGCCACAUUGGGACUGAGACACGGCCCAGACUCCUACGGGAGGCAGCAGUGGGGAAUAUUGCACAAUGGGGGAAACCCUGAUGCCAGCAACGCCGCGUGAGUGAUGACGGCCUUCGGGUUGUAAAGCUCUGUCUUCAGGGACGAUAAUGACGGUACCUGAGGAGGAAGCCACGGCUAACUACGUGCCAGCCGCGGC